CCAGUGUAGUGUGAGCUGCUCCAGCCAGACCCACUCGGUGACGCUGGCUAACCAAGUGCCUGCUUGUGCCAAGGUCCCCAUGGCUCACUUGAACACUGACAACCAGCUGGAGUCCGUCUGGCUCACCUGCGUGUCAGUAGUGUUCAAAUAGGUCUUAGACGUCUAAAUAUGUGCUUAGUGCUUAGAUUUUAUUGGCUGCUGGUACGUUGCUCCCUGCAGUCAUCUCACUUAUAAUAGCCGUGUCCCGUAUGGUAACAAGUGUUUGUACUACAAGCCUCCGUGUGCAAAUCACCAGCCAGGAGAGAGACACGAGUGCAAAGUGCUGAGCGCCAACCGACGGUGUUAUGUCCUGCCUCGCGAACCAUUGUGGAACAUCAAAGAGGACAAAAGACUUUGCUGAUUGCUCUUCCCCCACACCCUCCAUGAAGCCGUCUUGCAAGUGAAUUCCUCCCAACAACUCAGUUUGCAACUGCAAGCAGAAGUGCCUGAGCAGUUUACACUUGAGAAUUGGUUGGUGAAAUCGAAGUAUAGAGCUCACAGGCAAGUUGGGGUCCAGCAGCCUGCCCUGAGGUCAAUAUUCCCACCUCGAGCUCUGGGCUACACUGCAGAAUUCCUUUGCUCUAACUGUCGCUCAGAGCUAUUUAAGCUGCUGGCAUCUGGGAGCGCUCAGACUCCUCGGCCCGCAAUCACCAUGGACAGGCUGGAGGUGACGGAGACCUUCGCUGGCAUGUCCUUGCCUGGCCACAUGCACACACAG
rnacentral:lncRNA from 1 species